rnacentral:tRNA from 1 species
GGAGGUAUAGUUCAGGGGUAGAGUGCCUGCCUAGCAUGCAUGAGGUCCUAAGUUCAAUCCCCAGCACCUCCA